rnacentral:lncRNA from 1 species
ACCACUUCACCACACAAACCCACUGCACAACAAGUUCCACAAUGAUGGAAUCCAUUUCUUGGGUUGCAUACGCUGCCGCAUGGCUGGGAGCACUCGCUCUCAUCCUCCUCUCCCGCCGCCUCCGCCACCGCAAGCUCAAUUUGCCGCCCGGUCCAAAACCCUGGCCCAUCAUUGGAAACCUCAACCUCAUAAACCAACUUCCCCACCGGUCUAUCCAUGCACUCGCCCAAAAAUAUGGGCCCAUCAUGCAGCUCAAGUUUGGGUCCCAUCCGGUCGUCGUGGGCUCUUCAGUUGACAUGGCUAAGGCCUUCCUGAAAACCCACGACGUUAUCUUCGCCGGACGACCCAAAUUCGCAGCCGGUAAGCACACCACAUACAACUACUCGGACAUUACUUGGUCCCCUUACGGCUCAUAUUGGCGCCAGGCCCGUAAAAUGUGCGUAAUGGAGCUUUUCAGUGCCAGACGCCUAGAAUCAUAUGAAUAUAUCAGAAAGGAGGAAAUGAACGCAUUGCUCAGAGGCUUAUUUGAGUCCUCCAACACCAACAUUUUGCUGAAAGAUCACCUUUCAACUGUGAGUCUUAAUGUUAUAAGCCGCAUGGUGCUCGGAAAGAAGUACACGGACGAGUCGAAAGACUCGAUCGUGAGCCCCGAUGAGUUCAAGAAGAUGUUGGAUGAGCUCUUCUUGCUGAGCGGGGUGUUGAAUAUUGGUGACUCAAUACCGUGGCUUGAUUUCUUGGACUUGCAAGGGUACAUAAAGAGAAUGAAGACUUUGAGCAAGAAGUUGGAUAGGUUCUUGGAGCAUGUGUUGGAUGUACAUAUUGCAAAGAGGAAGGCAGGUGGUGAAGACUUUGUUGCAAAAGAUAUGGUUGAUGUGCUUCUGCAACUUGCUGAUGAUCCUAACCUUGAAGUUAAGCUUGAAAGACAUGGAAUAAAGGCCUUUACCCAGGUAUGAUUGAUUCAUUUAUGCAAUAAUGAUAGAAGCAGUAAAAUUUUCCCAAACUCUACUCUUGAGUCAAUGACAGCGAGCGAGUCUUAUAUGCAUUAACGGCUCACAAUUACUCGCUUAUUUGGGAUUUGAAAACUUUUUGGUUUACUUUGGUUUUACUUAUCUUACUCACGCUUUUGUUGAUUGAUGGAUUCUAUUAGGACCUAAUUGCCGGUGGAACUGAGAGCUCAGCGGUGACCGUCGAAUGGGCAAUUUCAGAGCUGCUAAGGAAGCCGGAGGUUUUCAAGAAGGCAACAGAGGAGCUAGACAGGGUGAUUGGAAGAGAGAGAUGGGUUGAAGAGAAUGACAUUGUCAACUUACCCUAUGUUGAUGCCAUUGCCAAGGAAACCAUGAGGCUGCACCCAGUGGCACCCAUGUUGGUGCCAAGACUAUCCCGAGAAGACUGCCAAGUUGCUGGCUAUGACAUCCCCAAGGGCACCAGAAUCCUAGUAAGUGUCUGGACCAUAGGAAGAGACCCUCAACUUUGGGACAACCCAGAAGAGUUUUGCCCUGAGAGGUUCCUUGGCAAGGACAUUGAUGUCAAAGGCCAGGACUUUGAGCUGCUCCCAUUUGGGUCAGGCAGGAGGAUGUGCCCUGGCUACAGCCUUGGCAUCAAGGUGAUCCAGGCAAGCCUGGCCAAUCUCCUACACGGGUUUACAUGGAGAUUGCCCGACACCUUGAAGGAGGAGGAUUUGAACAUGGAGGAAAUUUUUGGGCUUUCAACUCCAAAGAAGUAUCCUCUUGUUGCAGUCUGUGAACCUCGUCUUCCACCUCACGUUUACACACUCUGAUUUUUGUCUUAGUUUCAGUUACUUCUCUUCUUCCCUCUGAAUAAUUACUAUUGGGAUGCUAAGUUUUUUACUACAAAAUAAAUUAGCACACUAUUGUAAAAUUGCGAUGUGUGUGAUCAAAAUCCAGAGGCUCUUAUUGUAAUUUCCUGUUCUUCUCCACUUUUCUCCUCCUCUGUGG